GUGAGGAAUAUUGCGCAAUGGAGGCAACUCUGACGCAGCCAUGCCGCGUGCAGGAAGAAGGCGCUACGCGUUGUAAACUGCUUUUAACCGGGAAGAAACCCCAGGACGUGUCCUGGGUUGACGGUACCGGAGGAAUAAGCACCGGCUAACUUCGUGCCAGCAGCCGCGGUAACACGAAGGGUGCAAGCGUUAUCCGGAUUCAUUGGGUUUAAAGGGUGCGUAGGCGGAGCGUUAAGUCAGUGGUGAAAUCCUGCAGCUUAACUGUAGACUUGCCAUUGAUACUGGCGCUCUUGAGUGCGCUUGAAGUGGGCGGAAUGUGCCGUGUAGCGGUGAAAUGCUUAGAUAUGGCACAGAACACCAAUUGCGAAGGCAGCUCACUAAGGCGAUACUGACGCUGAGGCACGAAAGCGUGGGGAUCGAACAGGAUUAGAAACCCCGGUAGUCC
rnacentral:rRNA from 1 species